rnacentral:rRNA from 1 species
GAUGAACGCUGGCGGCGUGCCUAACACAUGCAAGUCGAACGGAGUCGUUUUGGAAAUCUCUUCGGAGAUGGAAUUCUCGACUUAGUGGCGGACGGGUGAGUAACGCGUGAGCAAUCUGCCUUUAAGAGGGGGAUAACAGUCGGAAACGGCUGCUAAUACCGCAUAAAGCAUUAAAUUCGCAUGUUUUUGAUGCCAAAGGAGCAAUCCGCUUUUAGAUGAGCUCGCGUCUGAUUAGCUAGUUGGCGGGGUAACGGCCCACCAAGGCGACGAUCAGUAGCCGGACUGAGAGGUUGAACGGCCACAUUGGGACUGAGACACGGCCCAGACUCCUACGGGAGGCAGCAGUGGGGAAUAUUGCGGAAUGGGGGAAAACCUGACGCAGCAACGCCGCGUGAUUGAAGAAGGCCUUCGGGUUGUAAAGAUCUUUAAUCAGGGACGAAACAAAUGACGGUACCUGAAGAAUAAGCUCCGGCUAACUACGUG